AGUGAACGCUGGCGGUAGGCCUAACACAUGCAAGUCGAACGGCAGCACAGGAGAGCUUGCUCUCUGGGUGGCGAGUGGCGGACGGGUGAGGAAUACAUCGGAAUCUACUUUUUCGUGGGGGAUAACGUAGGGAAACUUACGCUAAUACCGCAUACGACCUACGGGUGAAAGCAGGGGACCUUCGGGCCUUGCGCGAUUGAAUGAGCCGAUGUCGGAUUAGCUAGUUGGCGGGGUAAAGGCCCACCAAGGCGACGAUCCGUAGCUGGUCUGAGAGGAUGAUCAGCCACACUGGAACUGAGACACGGUCCAGACUCCUACGGGAGGCAGCGGUGGGGAAUAUUGGACAAUGGGCGCAAGCCUGAUCCAGCCAUACCGCGUGGGUGAAGAAGGCCUUCGGGUUGUAAAGCCCUUUUGUUGGGAAAGAAAUCCAGCCGGCUAAUACCUGGUUGGGAUGACGGUACCCAAAGAAUAAGCACCGGCUAACUUCGUGCCAGCCGCCGCGGUAAAAC
rnacentral:rRNA from 1 species